UACGAAGGGGGCUAGCGUUGCUCGGAAUCACUGGGCGUAAAGCGCACGUAGGCGGAUCGUUAAGUCAGGGGUGAAAUCCUGGAGCUCAACUCCAGAACUGCCUUUGAUACUGGCGAUCUUGAGUUCGGGAGAGGUGAGUGGAACUGCGAGGGUAGAGGUGAAAUUCGUAGAUAUUCGCAAGAACACCAGUGGCGAAGGCGGCUCACUGGCCCGAUACUGACGCUGAGGUGCGAAAGCGUGGGGAGCAAACAGG
rnacentral:rRNA from 1 species